rnacentral:rRNA from 1 species
AAACCAGCACCUCAAGUGGUCAGGAUGAUUAUUGGGCCUAAAGCAUCCGUAGCCGGCUCUGUAAGUUUUCGGUUAAAUCUGUACGCUUAACGUACAGGCUGCCGGGAAUACUGCAGAGCUAGGGAGUAGGAGAGGUAGACGGUACUCGGGAGGAAGUGGUAAAAUGCUUUGAUCUCUCGAUGACCACCUGUGGCGAAGGCGGUCUACCAGAACACGUCCGACGGUGAGGGAUGAAAGCUGGGGGAGCAAACCGGAUUAGAAACCCGAGUAGUCC